rnacentral:rRNA from 1 species
UACGUAGGGUGCAAGCGUUAAUCGGAAUUACUGGACGUAAAGCGUGCGCAGGCGGUUUUGUAAGUUUGUCGUGAAAGCCCCGGGCUCAACCUGGGAAUUGCGAUGAAGACUGCAAGGCUUGAAUCUGGCAGAGGGGGGUAGAAUUCUACGUGGUAGCAGUGAAAUGCGUAGAGAUGUGGAGGAACACCGGAUGGCGAAGGCAGCCCCCCUGGGUCAAGAUUGACGCUCGAUGCACGAAAGCGUGGGGAGAAACAGG